rnacentral:lncRNA from 1 species
ACUUUAUUAACUUAACAACAGAGCUCACACACUUAACGAUUACAUUCCUUUCUUACAUGGUACAAAGUAAAGCCUAAAUUCCAAACCACACACCUUCAUCCACUAGGGAUUUCUUAUCCUUCUCUUGUUCGCCCAACAACCUAACUCAUGGACAAUCUUUAGGCUUUUCACCAUUUGUUCAGCUCUUCCACUCGUUGUCUUGGGCCGCACAGAAUAGGGAUGCUGCCCUCGAUACUUCUUCAAAACUGAGAUUGGGUUACAAAUAUUUCCUGAUAGUUUGAACAUCUCUUUGUAUUGUUUGCAUAUUCUUUGUAUCUUUUCUUGAAACGACAAUCUAAUUUUCGAACUCCCAUCAAGCACAAAGGAGU